rnacentral:rRNA from 1 species
AGAGUUUGAUCCUGGCUCAGGACGAACGCUGGCGGCACGCUUAACACAUGCAAGUCGAACGAGAGAAGAGGAGCUUGCUUUUCUGAUCUAGUGGCGGACGGGUGAGUAACACGUGAGCAAUCUGCCUUUCAGAGGGGGAUACCGAUUGGAAACGAUCGUUAAUACCGCAUAACAUAAUUGAACCGCAUGAUUUGAUUAUCAAAGAUUUAUCGCUGAAAGAUGAGCUCGCGUCUGAUUAGCUAAUUGGUAAGGUAACGGCUUACCAAGGCGACGAUCAGUAGCCGGACUGAGAGGUUGAUCGGCCACAUUGGGACUGAGACACGGCCCAGACUCCUACGGGAGGCAGCAGUGGGGAAUAUUGCACAAUGGAGGAAACUCUGAUGCAGCGAUGCCGCGUGAGGGAAGAAGGUUUUAGGAUUGUAAACCUCUGUCUUCAGGGACGAAAAAAGACGGUACCUGAGGAGGAAGCUCCGGCUAACUACGUGCCAGCAGCCGCGGUAAUACGUAGGGAGCGAGCGUUGUCCGGAAUUACUGGGUGUAAAGGGAGCGUAGGCGGGAUCGCAAGUCAGAUGUGAAAACUAUGGGCUUAACCCAUAAACUGCAUUUGAAACUGUGGUUCUUGAGUGAAGUAGAGGUAAGCGGAAUUCCUAGUGUAGCGGUGAAAUGCGUAGAUAUUAGGAGGAACAUCAGUGGCGAAGGCGGCUUACUGGGCUUUAACUGACGCUGAGGCUCGAAAGCGUGGGGAGCAAACAGGAUUAGAUACCCUGGUAGUCCACGCCGUAAACGAUGAUUACUAGGUGUGGGGGGACUGACCCCUUCCGUGCCGCAGCAAACGCAAUAAGUAAUCCACCUGGGGAGUACGACCGCAAGGUUGAAACUCAAAGGAAUUGACGGGGGCCCGCACAAGCAGUGGAGUAUGUGGAUUAAUUCGAAGCAACGCGAAGAACCUUACCAGGUCUUGACAUCGUAUGCAUAGCUCAGAGAUGAGUGAAAUCUCUUCGGAGACAUAUAGACAGGUGGUGCAUGGUUGUCGUCAGCUCGUGUCGUGAGAUGUUGGGUUAAGUCCCGCAACGAGCGCAACCCUUACUGUUAGUUGCUACGCAAGAGCACUCUAGCAGGACUGCCGUUGACAAAACGGAGGAAGGUGGGGAUGACGUCAAAUCAUCAUGCCCCUUAUGACCUGGGCCUCACACGUACUACAAUGGCUGUCAACAGAGGGAAGCAAAGCCGCGAGGUGGAGCGAACCCCUAAAAGCAGUCUUAGUUCGGAUUGUAGGCUGCAACCCGCCUACAUGAAGUCGGAAUUGCUAGUAAUCGCAGAUCAGCAUGCUGCGGUGAAUACGUUCCCGGGCCUUGUACACACCGCCCGUCACGCCAUGGGAGUCGGUAACACCCGAAGCCUGUAGUCUAACCGCAAGGAGGACGCAGUCGAAGGUGGGAUUGAUGACUGGGGUGAAGUCGUAACAAGGUA